GUAGCAAGUGAAUUAUAAUUCGCUGCUACUGUAGCAGUGAAUUGUAAUUCCUACUGUAGCAGUGAAUUAAAAUGCAAAAGAAGCGGGGCUUACCUCAACGCAGGAACGGAGAUGAUAACUGAAGCGUGGUGGUCGGCCGUUCUCCUCUCCUCUGCUUUACUAUGUCUCUGAUUCUCGUUUUCCUUUACUUUUUGCUGUUUUUUUUUUGUGUUCCUCUGUCUUUAAUUCCUUCCCUUUACUGGCUUCCUCUGUCCAUGUCCGUCUCUCUCUAGCUCUCGCCUGUUCUGUCCGUUCGGUCCUCUUCCUUCCCCCUCUGUUCUCCCUCUUCUUUUGCUCUGUCCAGUCUUCUCCGUUCAGGAAGAAGACGGUUGUGGUAAAAGCACGAGGUGCUGCUGGUUGAAUGGACCAAAACUUUGCCCUGGUUCUGUUUCUCCUCCCCUUUCGUUUCUGUUCUGCCUCCUCUCUCUCAGUCUUCCCCCCUCUCGCGAGGUUGCCUUUACCCGGCUUUUUAUAGAGUCAGAGAUCGAUCGGCGCUGGUAACGGCCGGCAGUAAUGGCCGUGGGGUGCUGCAUUCAAUGGAGAAACGUCUCUGCCUUUAAUGCCGGAGCCGUUACCGAGGAAGAAGACGACGAACAGUCGCUUGCCAAAACGACUUCGUUUUCCAAUUCCAAAGGCUGCUUUAAAUGUGGUCCUUGGAAUUCUUGUAAUGUUGCAAUCAAGCCCCUGGUUAAAAUGUAAUUGGAUACUUGCAUUUCGGUGCCUUUUACAAGCUAGUCCUUGGACUUUAAUAUGUUGCACUUUUGACCCCAAUUAACCCCAAACUUUGAUAUUUCUUCAAUUAAGCCUUUGAUUUCAUUAAUUAAAUUAAUCCUAAGCUCCAUUAAGCCUCAAAACUUAUCAAUUCUCCAAUUAAGCCCUUGAUUUGAUUAAUUUAAUUAAUUCUCAACUUAAUUAAGUCUCUCAAUUCUUCAAUUAAGCCCUUGAUUUAUUAAUUAAAGUAGUCAAGAGUUUAAUUAAUCUCUCUAAACUUCCAAUCAUGUUGCCUUAACCUACAUUUUAAUUCACUCUUCAUUUAUUUAACUUUUUAUUUGUUUUUCAUCAAUAAUUUUUUUAUAUUUUUAGGAAAUAUUGUAAAAAUCAAUAAAUAAAUAAAUAACACAAAAAAAAUUAAAUAAAAAAGUAAAAAAUUGGAUUAUGACAAGGUUCAUGGAUCCUUUAACUAAUGCAUAAUUUUACUACCAGAAAAUCUACGAAAACAAACAAAAUCACAUAUAUAUUUUUUCUAUCCGUAUUGUGAGGUGAUAUGUAUUUAUAUCUAACCUUAUCUAUUUGUUCUAUAAACAUAUUUGCAACCAGUUACUCCCAUCAUUCUAGGAUAUAUAUAUUCCUCUGACUAACAAAUCAGGUAAAAAUUCUGAUUGGUCAAGCAAAUCAGCGCGGGACUGAUGCAAGCAUUCUUUCCACGACAAACAACUAUGACGAUGCAAGCAAGGGAAGUACUAAACGUCCAUACAUUUAUACCAAGGAUGCCAUUGAUUACAGUGGGGACUUCCCAGUUUCAAAGGUAGAGCCACUAUGAGUGAGCUCAGAGUCCUUGGUAUGAGCUUGGCUUGGCAAAUGUUUCAGUGAUACUUCUUACUUGAGAGUACGAGUUGCAUUUCUCUUGUAUUGUUUUCACUUUUGUAGCACACUCCAACUGUGCCGAACUCGAAAAAUCAAAAUCAUUAAACGAGCCAAACUCCAACUGUCAAA